rnacentral:antisense_RNA from 1 species
GUGCCAGGGCAGUGAUUUCACAAACCACGGUGGCACCAGGGGUCUGCCAGGCAUGGCACUAAGUGUCCCAUGGCACAUUUGGCCCUCAUGGAGGCCUCAAAAGGGCAGGACCAGCACGCUCUUCUACGGAGGAAGGAACGGGCACAGCAGACUUGCGGAUCCUGCUCCCCUUCCCACUUCUGCACUUGAGGGUCUAAUGAGGCCUCAGUGGAACAUAGAAUUCCUCCUGCCCUGACAUCAUAGCUCCCGCCUGGGAGGCCUCCUGGAUGACUCCUUUCGCCUCCUCCCUUCCCCAAGAGCAGCCCCUGGCUCAACCUCCACCUCCGUGCUGCCUCGGACCACCUGCCCGGUCGAGCUGCCAUCACCUGCCAGAAACAAGGAGAGUCAGCAAUUACCAGCCAGCCGAGGUCCUGGAAGCUGACGUAGAGCUCGUGCCGACGGCAGACCUGCCGGCCGUGGGAGCCGUGGACGUCAUCUGCAGGGACAGAAGGGGCAAGGUCUUUUCUGGGGUUCCUGCUGUGUGCAGCUACUAUGGGGUACCAGGGUGGGGGAUGCCCUGAUGAGCACAUUUGUCAAAUAAAUGAAUGACAGGAAACCA